rnacentral:lncRNA from 1 species
CCGACCUCAAGGUCUCUACCAGAAUCAUCAGUAAGAUUGUGUGUCCCUCUUAGAGAGCCCGGACUACCAUGAUCAUGUCGAUAUCCAGGUGGUCCAUAUACAACGACAUGUACAAACAAGCGACUAUACACAUCAAGAGUAUGUUUCCAUGGGCGAAAUGCCAAUCACUCUCAAAAAUGGUGAAGUUCCUGGAGUAUCGCAUAUAGCUGUCCAAUGACCCAAAUCUGUCAAUCAAG